AUGUUGCAUUCUCUAACCCCUGUGUUUGGUGUUUCUGUAGCGUUGCCUGAUGCUGCUCUGACUCUGCUGGGAGAAUCUAGCCCUGAUGUCCUGGAAGCCCUCAAUACUCUGCUAAAGGUAAAUGGUCAGUCCCUCUCCUUUGAGUCACUGCCCCUCCCCUUGCAGGAAGAGGGGGCAUUCCAUUGGGCAGAGCAGCUCCUCCUCUCCUCCAAUGUGAUGCUGCGGAGAGAGACUGACAGGCUGUGGGCAGAGACUGGAAAAAAGCCAGGAGUGUUUCCAUUGGUCAUGUGCAUCGCUGUGCAAGGACUUACAUCUCUGUACACUGGGAAGGGGUAGGAUGUGUGUGCAUGGAUCAGUAUGUUUCAAAUAUUACAUUUUGUGUGAAACUCCAGUGUUUCACUUGUGUGUUUUCCAAAUAUGCACUCAAUGAAUUCUGUAUUUUUGGUGGCACUAACAUUUUUUUUUUACAAACUAAUUCUCAAUGUAACUGUUUGAAUUUGAAAAGCUGUAAAACAAUCCACUCCAGAAUAUGAAGUAAGACCUGUGUUCGAAGAAACACUUUUCAAAAGCUGGACAAGCAGACUUCACCUUACUGUGUUUGGAAAGAAACGCCUCAAUCUCAAUACACUAAAAUGUUGCUCUGACACCCUAGUAUUUCACGAAACCUUUACAUUCUUUCUGCAUGCUCAUACAGAUAAAACGUGUAUACAGAAGAUUUUGUUAUUUCAAAAGAGAAAUGUACAGUAUAUGCUUAUUUUAAUAUAUAAUGUUGCUUAAAUGACAUUUUAAGCUAUAUGUAACCUACAGUACCAGUCAAAUGUUGACACACCUACUCAUUCAAGGGUUUUUCUUUAUUUGUAUAUUUUCUACAUUGAAUAAUAAUAGUGAAGACAUCAAAACAAUUAAAUAACACAUAUAGAAUCAUGUAGUAACCAAAAAAGUGUUAAAUUAAUUCUUCAGAGUAGUCACCCUUUGCCUUGAUGACAGCUUUGCACACUCUUGGCAUUCUCUCAACCAGCUUCACCUGGAAUGCUUUUCCAACAGUCUUGAAGGAGUUCCCACAUAUUCUGAGCACUUGUUGGCUGCUUUUCUUUCACUCUGCGGUCCAACUCAUUCCAAACCAUCUCAAUUGGGUUGAGGUUGAGUGAUUGUGGAGGCCAGGUCAUCUGAUGCAGCACUCCAUCAUUAUCCUUCUUGUUCAAAUAGCCCUUAAACAGCCUAGAGGAGUGUUGGGUCAUUGUCCUGUUGGAAAACAAAUGAUAGUCCCACUAAGCGCUAACCAGAUGGAAUGGUGUAUCGCUGCAGAAUGCUGUGGUAGCCAUGCUGGUUGUGUGCUUUGAAUUCUAAAUAAUCACUGACAGUGUCACCAGCAAAGCAACAUCACACCUCCUCCUCCAUGCUUCACGGUGGGAACCACACAUGCGGAGAUCAUCCAUUCACCUACUCUGCAUCUCAAAAAUAAAUGGCGGUUGGAACCAAAAAUAUCAAAUAUCAAAGGACCGAUUUCCACCAGUCUAAUGCCCAUUGCUCAUGUUUCUUGGCCCAAGCAAGUCUCUUCUUCUUUUUGGUGGUCUUUAGUAGUGGUUUCUUUGCAGCAAUUUGACUAUGAAGGCCUGAUUCAUGUAGUCUCCUCUGAACAGUUGAUGGUGAGAUUUGUCUGUUACUUGAACUCAGUGAAGCAUUUAUUUGGGCUGCAAUUUGAGGUGCAGUUAACUCUAAUGAACGUAUCCUCUGCAGUAGAGGUAACUCUGGGUCUUCCUUUCCUGUGGCGGUCCUCAUCAGAGCCAGUUUCAUCAUAGCACUUGAUGGUUUUUGCCACUGCACUUGAAGAAACUUUCAAAGUUCUUGACAUUUUCCAGAUUGACUGACCUUCCUUCAUGUCUUAAAGUAAUUAUUAUUAUUUGAGAUGUUCUUGCCAUAAUAUGGACUUGGUCUUUUACCAAAUAGGGCUAUCUUCUGUAUGCCAACCCUACCUUGUCAUAACACAACUGAUUGGCUCAAACGCAAUAAGAAAAUAAAUUCCACAAAUGAACUUUUAACAAGGCACACGUGUUAAUUGAAAUUCAUUCCAGGUGACUACCUCAUGAAGCUGGUUGAGAGAAUGCCAAGAGUGUGAAAAGCUGUCAUCAAGGCAAAGGGUGGCUGCUUUGAAGAAUCUCAAAUAUAAAAUGUAUUUUUUGAUUUGUUUAACACUUUUAUGGUUACUACAUGAUUCCAUG
rnacentral:lncRNA from 13 species